CCUACGGGAGGCAGCAGUGAGGAAUAUUGGUCAAUGGACGAGAGUCUGAACCAGCCAAGUAGCGUGAAGGAUGACUGCCCUAUGGGUUGUAAACUUCUUUUAUAAAGGAAUAAAACGAGGCACGUGUGCCUUUUUGCAUGUACUUUAUGAAUAAGGAUCGGCUAACUCCGUGCCAGCAGCCGCGGUAAUACGGAGGAUCCGAGCGUUAUCCGGAUUUAUUGGGUUUAAAGGGAGCGUAGAUGGGUUGUUAAGUCAGUUGUGAAAGUUUGCGGCUCAACCGUAAAAUUGCAAUUGAUACUGGCAGUGGUGAGUACAGUUGAGGUAGGCGGAAUUCGUGGUGUAGCGGUGAAAUGCUUAGAUAUCACGAAGAACCCCGAUUGCGAAGGCAGCUUACUAAACUGUGACUGACAUUGAUGCUCGAAAGUGUGGGUAUCAAACAGGAUUAGAUACCCCAGUAGU
rnacentral:rRNA from 1 species